rnacentral:tRNA from 1 species
CUGGCCGUAGCUCAAUGGAUGAGCAUUCCCCUCCGAAGGGAAAGGCAUGCAGGUUCGACCCCUGCCGGCCAGG